GGAGAGGUGACCGAGUGGCUGAAGGUGGCGCCCUGCUAAGGCGUUGUGCGGGAAACUGUACCGAGGGUUCGAAUCCCUCCCUCUCCGCCA
rnacentral:tRNA from 1 species